rnacentral:rRNA from 1 species
ACGGAAGGCAGCAGUGAGGAAUAUUGGUCAAUGGGCGGAAGCCUGAACCAACCAAGUCGCGUGAAGGAUGAAGGUAUUAUGUAUUGUAAACUUCUUUAGACGUAGAGAAAUAAGGGGAUCGUGAUCCCUGAUGCUAGUAUACGUAGAAUAAGGAUCGGCUAACUCCGUGCCAGCAGCCGCGGUAAUACGGAGGAUCCGAGCGUUAUCCGGAUUUAUUGGGUUUAAAGGGUGCGCAGGCGGUCUUUUAAGUCAGUGGUUAAAUCGUGGAGCUUAACUCCAUCCCGCCAUUGAUACUGGAGGACUUGAUUGCGGUUGAGGUUGGCGGAAUUCGCCGUGUAGCGGUGAAAUGCAUAGAUAUGGCGAAGAACUCCGAUUGCGUAGGCAGCUGACCAAGCCGUAAAUGACGCUCAUGCACGAAAGUGCGGGGAUCGAACAGGAUUAGAUACCCUGGUA